rnacentral:rRNA from 1 species
UAAAGCUCUGUUGUUAGGGAAGAACAAGUGCAAGAGUAACUGCUUGCACCUUGACGGUACCUAACCCUUUAGCCACGGCUAACUACGUGCCAGCAGCCGCGGUAAUACGUAGGUGGCAAGCGUUGUCCGGAAUUAUUGGGCGUAAAGGGCUCGCAGGCGGUUUCUUAAGUCUGAUGUGAAAGCCCCCGGCUCAACCGGGGAGGGUCAUUGGAAACUGGGAAACUUGAGUGCAGAAGAGGAGAGUGGAAUUCCACGUGUAGCGGUGAAAUGCGUAGAGAUGUGGAGUGAACACCGGCUGGCGAAGGCGACUCUCUGGUCUGUAACUGACGCUGAGGUAGCGAAAGCGUGGGGAGCAGAACACGGAUUAGAUACCCUGGUAGUCCACGCCGUAAACGAUGAGUGCUAAGUGUUAGGGGGUUUCCGCCCCUUAGUGCUGCAGCUAACGCAUUAAGCACUCCGCCUGGGGAGUACGGUCGCAAGACUGAAACUCAAAGGAAUUGACGGGGGCCCGCACAAGCGGUGGAGCAUGUGGUUUAAUUCGAAGCAACGCGAAGAACCUUACCAGGUCUUGACAUCCUCUGACAACCCUAGAGAUAGGGCUUUCCCUUCGGGGACAGAGUGACAGGUGGUGCAUGGUUGUCGUCACCUCGUGUCGUGAGAUGUUGGGUUAAGUCCCGCAACGAGCGCAACCCUUGAUCUUAGUUGCCAGCAUUCAGUUGGGCACUCUAAGGUGACUGCCGGUGACAAACCGGAGGAAGGUGGGGAUGACGUCAAAUCAUCAUGCCCCUUAUGACCUGGGCUACACACGUGCUACAAUGGACAGAACAAAGGGCUGCGAGACCGCAAGGUUUAGCCAAUCCCACAAAUCUGUUCUCAGUUCGGAUCGCAGUCUGCAACUCGACUGCGUGAA